rnacentral:rRNA from 1 species
UUAAAUGGCCGCAGUAUUUUGACUGUGCAAAGGUAGCAUAAUCAUUAGUUUCUUAAUUAGAAACUGGAAUGAAGGGUUGAACGAAAAAAUAACUGUCUCUUUAUAAAUUUUUUAGAAUUUUAUUUUUAAGUUAAAAAGCUUAAAUUUUUUUAAAAGACGAGAAGACCCUAUAGAGUUUUAUAGUAUAUUAUUUAAAUUUUUAGUUUGAAUUAUUAUAUGUUUAAUUUUUAUAUUAUUUAAUUGGGGUGAUUAAAAAAUUUAUUAAACUUUUUUUUUAGUAAAUCAUUAAUAAAUGAUUUGUUGAUCCAAUAUUAUUGAUUAUAAGAUUUAAUUACCUUAGGGAUAACAGCGUAAUUUUUUUUAAGAGUUCAUAUCGAUAAAAAAGUUUGCGACCUCGAUGUUGGAUUAAAAUUUAAUUUUGGUGUAGAAGCUAAAAUAUUAGGUCUGUUCGACCUUUAAAAUUUUACAUGAUCUGAGUUUAAACCGGUGUAAGCCAGGUUGGUUUCUAUCUUUAAAUAAAAAUAAUAUUUUAGUACGAAAGGACCAAAUAUUAGUAAUAAUUAUUAAUUGUGAAUAAUAUUAAAU